GACAAAAGUCCAUCUGAGUUGCUCUCUGCUGCCUGACACGCAAUAUGAUGCCCUGGACUGACCUGCCCCAUUACAAAAGGCUCAUCCAGCUCCAUCCAGCACCUUGGUGGGAUGCAGGCUUUAAGCAGAACAGGUCUCAAGGGGCCCUAAUCUGUGACGUGUGAUGAGAAAACUUACUGAGUACAUGGAUAGAAUCAGCUGCUUGCUCUCCUGCCCUCCACCCCAACAUAUCUGUAGUAUUCUGAAAAUGCAGGUGGGUGAGAAGCCCUUGUUUGAUACAGGGGCCAGAAGAGUGAGCCAGGAAGUGGGGAGCACUGCUUCACUUCCCUUCUCAGCAGAAGACGCAAACCUGCAGCAUCAGAGAGUGUGUAACAAUCCAGCUGCGUGCCUGGGAGAGGGCAGGAAAGAAAAGAGCAGGGCUGAAACAGCUAUCCUGAAGAUGCGGGAGAGGGGGGGGCCUCUGGGCUAGUGCUGAUAUGUCAGUAAUCUGCUUCUGCUUUCAGGUUUGUUUCAGCAAACACCGAGCGAGGAGGCAGCUCAGCCACCGGCCCUGCACCCAGCGCUGACAGGAACACUGCGGCAAGUGACGUCAGGGCAGCUGCGUGUCCUCAUCUGCAGGGCACGGCCUGCUGACGUGCGGCCCUCCUGUGCCAUCAGUCACGCGUGCUACAUUCCGACAGAAGAGGGCCUCCCAGCUUCACCUUCAGCGAGGCGGGUCCUGAGGUGUGGGGGUAGGAGCGCCAACGUGUUCUGAUCGAGUAAAGCGGGUCUGGCUGAUGAGAUACGUAAAGAAAAGAAGAAACUCUGAGGCUGCUCUUGAGUUCAGAUUCAGCUGUACAGCCUAGCUGAAGCCCAGCACGAGAUAGAAGCAGUGUGAGGACAUGCCAUGCAUUAGCCUUCCCCCAGCAAUGUGAGGAGACACCUUGCAAUACUUUGCAACAGGGUAUUGUGGAACCUACACGAGUUCAUCCUGGCAGUGACAGAAUCACCACAGAGUUGAGAAUGUUGUGACACUGACUUGAAUGCAAUUCAGCAGUGCCUUUUGUGGGGUUUAGAUCCAGAACUCCUGGGACAUUUCAAGAUCUC
rnacentral:lncRNA from 1 species